rnacentral:rRNA from 1 species
AUUGAACGCUGGCGGCAGGCCUAACACAUGCAAGUCGAACGAGUGGCGGACGGGUGAGUAAUGUCUGGGAAACUGCUUGAUGGCGGGGGAUAACUACUGGAAAAGGUAGCUAAUACCGCAUACCAUCAGAUGUGCCCAGAUGGGAUUAGCUGGUUGGUGGGGUAACGGCUCACCAAGGAGACGAUCCCUAGCUGGUCUGAGAGGAUGACCAGCCACCCUGGAACUGAGACACGGUCCAGACUCCUACGGGAGGCAGCAGUGGGGAAUAUUGGACAAGGGGCGCAACCCUGCUGCAGCCAUGCCGCGUGUAUGAAGAAGGCCUUCGGGUUUGAAAGUACUUUCAGCGGGGAGGCGUUACCCGCAGAAGAAGCACCGGCUAACUCCGUGCCAGCAGCCGCGGUAAUUC